rnacentral:rRNA from 1 species
GACGAACGCUGGCGGCGUGCUUAACACAUGCAAGUCGAACGGAAAGGCUCCAGCUUGCUGGUGUACUCGAGUGGCGAACGGGUGAGUAACACGUGGGUAAUCUGCCCUGCACUCUGGGAUAAGCCUGGGAAACUGGGUCUAAUACUGGAUAUGACCUUUCUCCUUAUGGGGUUUGGUGGAAAGUUUUUCGGUGUAGGGUGAGCCCGCGGCCUAUCAGCUUGUUGGUGGGGUGAUGGCCUACCAAGGCGACGACGGGUAGCCGGCCUGAGAGGGUGAGAGGCCACAUUGGGACUGAGAUACGGCCCAGACUCCUACGGGAGGCAGCAGUGGGGAAUAGUGCACAAUGGGCGGAAGCCUGAUGCAGCGAAGCCGCGUGAGGGAUGACGGCCUGCGGGUUGUAAACCUCUUUCAGCAGGGACGAAGAGUAAGUGACGGUACCUGCAGAAGAAGCACCGGCUAACUAUGUG